AUAUUUUCAUUACUUUAAAACAAUUUCAUUUUGUGGUGUUACUGUUCCUUUAACAGUAGCGUGCACACGGCCAAAUCACAGUUGCUGAAUGACAGUUGACCAUAGAGCUGUCUCAGUGAAUGGUUCACUUUCACAGCGUCUCCCCAGUGAGAAGCGAUUUUUCUAUAUUUUAGUUAUUUUCAGGAUAUAUCAACCAGCUAUGGAUAGAUCCAAAAAUUCUCCAGAAUCCCGUGUGCUCACGAGGAAGAGAACCAUCAAGGAGAAGACAGAAGGGGCACCUAAAAAGACCAAGCUUAUGGGUAACAACAUGGAGGAGAAAAGCUUGCGUCAAGUAGAGCAAGAGGUGCUGAAGAGAGAGAGAGAGCGAGAGCCAGCAGAAGCAGGAAGAAGUGGAGCGAGUAGGCCUUGUGUUGAAGCUCAGAUGCCUAAAAAUCCGAAAAACAUCACCAACUACAAGUUUCACAAGGAGCUGGGAAAAGGAAGCUUCGGAAAGGUUAUGCUGGCGUCGCUUAACAACUGCAGAGAUCAAGUGGCAAUCAAAGUGAUUCGGAAGACUACGAGUGUAGAGGACAUCCUGACGGAGGCGCGCACUCUCAGAAUCACUGGAGCUUGUCCCUUUCUCUGCCAUGGAUAUGGAGCUUUCCAAACGCAGAUGCAUGCGUUUCUUGUAAUGGAGUUCAUGAGUGGAGGGACCCUGGAACAGCUUAUAAAUAAGAGAGGUUGCCUGAACAGGGACAUCAUACAAUUCUAUUCUGCAGAGAUGAUCAUCGGUCUACAGUAUCUGCAUUCAUGUGGUAUUGUGCACCGAGAUCUUAAACCACCAAACAUCUUACUGAGCGCCGAGGGGCACAUCAAGAUCAGUGAUUUCGGCCUAGCUGUAGAAGGGAUUUUCGGCAACAAGAAGAUGUACGAUCUAGUAGGGUCCUACCACUACAUGGCUCCAGAGAUUCAUCUGAUGAGUGGAUAUGGCGCAGGAGUGGAUUGGUGGGCAUUUGCCAUUAUUCUGUGCCAAAUGGCCGCCAGAAGAUCUCCAUUCCACGAAGGCUUGACACUGCUCAACAUCAUCGAAUCAGUCACCUUGAAGCAGCCUUCCAUUCCAGAGGAUAUCAGCCCUGAUCUGAAAAGUCUGAUGCAGGAGCUCUUUGAGAAGAAUCCAGACAAGCGCCUGGGCACAUCGGGGGAUAUAAGGAAACACCCGUUUUAUAGAUCGGUUGACUGGGCAGCCUUGGAGAACAGGAAGAUUCCACCUCCUUUCAAGCCACAAUCUCAGGUCCUUUCUCCUUCAGUGCUGUGGCUGGAGGUAUAUUCUUGAAACGCCAAACCCCCAUCCCCUUAGCCAGACUAUGACAAAUGUGGUUGGUGCUUGGCUGGUUCUGUUCUGGGCAAGGCAGGAUACCGACUGUGGAUGUCAGUGCAGUCUGUGAAGAGCCCCUGUCAUUCGUAGAAGAGCCAGGCUGCACCAACCCAUCAGGUGGUAUAAAAAUGAUUCAGGGUCUGUCAUUCCUGAGUCCCAGUUGGGAAAGAUCUGCUGGUCCCUUUUGCCUCCACCCUCUGCGCUCUCCACCAAGGGCCCCCGCCAUCGGCCCUCCUAUACUCAGACCCCUGCCAUCAGCCUUCCCCACUUCUGCCCCCCCCACCUCUG